AGAGUUUGAUCAUGGCUCAGAUUGAACGCUGGCGGCAGGCCUAACACAUGCAAGUCGAACGGUAACAGGAAGCAGCUUGCUGCUUCGCUGACGAGUGGCGGACGGGUGAGUAAUGUCUGGGAAGCUGCCUGAUGGAGGGGGAUAACUACUGGAAACGGCAGCUAAUACCGCAUAAUGUCGCAAGACCAAAGAGGGGGACCUUCGGGCCUCUUGCCAUCGGAUGUGCCCAGAUGGGAUUAGCUUGUUGGUGGGGUAACGGCUCACCAAGGCGACGAUCCCUAGCUGGUCUGAGAGGAUGACCAGCCACACUGGAACUGAGACACGGUCCAGACUCCUACGGGAGGCAGCAGUGGGGAAUAUUGCACAAUGGGCGCAAGCCUGAUGCAGCCAUGCCGCGUGUAUGAAGAAGGCCUUCGGGUUGUAAAGUACUUUCAGCGGGGAGGAAGGGAGUAAAGUUAAUACCUUUGCUCAUUGACGUUACCCGCAGAAGAAGCACCGGCUAACUCCGUGCCAGCAGCCGCGGUAAUAUGGAGGGUGCAAGCGUUAAUCGGAAUUACUGGGCGUAAAGCGCACGCAGGCGGUUUGUUAAGUCAGAUGUGAAAUCCCCGGGCUCAACCUGGGAACUGCAUCUGAUACUGGCAAGCUUGAGUCUCGUAGAGGGGGGUAGAAUUCCAGGUGUAGCGGUGAAAUGCGUAGAGAUCUGGAGGAAUACCGGUGGCGAAGGCGGCCCCCUGGACGAAGACUGACGCUCAGGUGCGAAAGCGUGGGGAGCAAACAGGAUUAGAUACCCUGGUAGUCCACGCCGUAAACGAUGUCGACUUGGAGGUUGUGCCCUUGAGGCGUGGCUUCCGGAGCUAACGCGUUAUGUCGACCGCCUGGGGAGUACGGCCGCAAGGUUAAAACUCAAAUGAAUUGACGGGGGCCCGCACAAGCGGUGGAGCAUGUGGUUUAAUUCGAUGCAACGCGAAGAACCUUACCUGGUCUUGACAUCCACGGAAGUUUUCAGAGAUGAGAAUGUGCCUUCGGGAACCGUGAGACAGGUGCUGCAUGGCUGUCGUCAGCUCGUGUUGUGAAAUGUUGGGUUAAGUCCCGCAACGAGCGCAACCCUUAUCCUUUGUUGCCAGCGGUCCGGCCGGGAACUCAAAGGAGACUGCCAGUGAUAAACUGGAGGAAGGUGGGGAUGACGUCAAGUCAUCAUGGCCCUUACGACCAGGGCUACACACGUGCUACAAUGGCGCAUACAAAGAGAAGCGACCUCGCGAGAGCAAGCGGACCUCAUAAAGUGCGUCGUAGUCCGGAUUGGAGUCUGCAACUCGACUCCAUGAAGUCGGAAUCGCUAGUAAUCGUGGAUCAGAAUGCCACGGUGAAUACGUUCCCGGGCCUUGUACACACCGCCCGUCACACCAUGGGAGUGGGUUGCAAAAGAAGUAGGUAGCUUAACCUUCGGGAGGGCGCUUACCACUUUGUGAUUCAUGACUGGGGUGAAGUCGAAACAAGGUA
rnacentral:rRNA from 1 species